AUUGAACGCUGGCGGCAUGCCUUACACAUGCAAGUCGAACGGCAGCACGGGAGCAAUCCUGGUGGCGAGUGGCGAACGGGUGAGUAAUAUAUCGGAACGUGCCCGGUCGUGGGGGAUAACGUAGCGAAAGCUGCGCUAAUACCGCAUACGAUCUACGGAUGAAAGCGGGGGGAUCGCAAGACCUCGCGCGAUUGGAGCGGCCGAUAUCAGAUUAGGUAGUUGGUGAGGUAAAGGCUCACCAAGCCGACGAUCUGUAGCUGGUCUGAGAGGACGACCAGCCACACUGGGACUGAGACACGGCCCAGACUCCUACGGGAGGCAGCAGUGGGGAAUUUUGGACAAUGGGCGCAAGCCUGAUCCAGCAAUGCCGCGUGCAGGAUGAAGGCC
rnacentral:rRNA from 1 species